GGGCGUAAAGCGCGCGCAGGCGGCUAUUUAAGUUGGAUGUGNANGCCUACGGCUCAACCNUAGAACUGCAUCCAAAACUAUUUAGCUAGAGUGUGGGAGAGGAAGAUGGAAUNAGUUGUGUAGGGGUAAAAUCNGUAGAGAUAACUAGGAAUACCAAAAGCGAAGGCAAUCUUCUGGAACACUACUGACGCUGAGGCGCGAAAGCGUGGGGAGCAAACGGGAUUAGACACCCCGGUAGUCCACGCAGUAAACGAUGAAUGUUAGUCGUCGGGGGCCUAGUGUCUUCGGUGAUGCAGUUAACACAUUAAACAUUCCGCCUGGGGAGUACGGUCGCAAGAUUAAAACUCAAAGGAAUAGACGGGGACCCGCACAAGUGGUGGAGCAUGUGGUUUAAUUCGAAGAUACGCGAAGAACCUUACCUAGCCUUGACAUAUAUUAGAAUUUUUCAGAGAUGAGGGAGUGCCUUCGGGAGCUUUUAUACAGGUGCUGCACGGCUGUCGUCAGCUCGUGUCGCGAGAUGUUGGGUUAAGUCCCGCAACGAGCGCAACCCUCGUCACUAGUUACUAACGGUUCGGCCGAGGACUCUAGUGAGACUGCCUUCGCAAGGAGGAGGAAGGUGAGGACGACGUCAAGUCAUCAUGGCCCUUACGGCUAGGGCAACACACGUGCUACAAUGGUUAGGACAAUGAGACGCAAUACCGCGAGGUGGAGCAAAUCUAUAAACCUAAUCUCAGUUCGGAUUGUAGUCUGCAACUCGACUACAUGAAGCUGGAAUCACUAGUAAUCGUAGAUCAGCUAUGCUACGGUGAAUACGUUCCCGGGUCUUGUACUCACCGCCCGUCACACCAUGGGAGUUGAUUUCACCCGAAGCGGGGAAGCUAAACUGGCUACCCUCCACGGUGGAAUCAGCGACUGGGGUGAAGUCGUAACAAGGUAAC
rnacentral:rRNA from 1 species